CGGGUGAGUAUCACGUGAGAAACCUGCCCCGAAGACUGGGAUAGCCCGGGGAAACCCGGAUUAAUACCAGAUAUUCUCUACAGAUCGCAUGGUCUGUUGAGGAAAGGCCUUUGCGCUUCGGGAUGGUCUCGCGGCCUAUCAGCUAGUUGGUGAGGUAAUGGCUCACCAAGGCAACGACGGGUAGCUGGUCUGAAAGGACGAUCAGCCACACUGGGACUGAGACACGGCCCAG
rnacentral:rRNA from 1 species